rnacentral:rRNA from 1 species
UACGUAGGGUGCAAGCGUUGUCCGGAAUUAUUGGGCGUAAAGAGCUCGUAGGUGGCCUGUCGCGUCGGCUGUGAAAACUCGGGGCUCAACUCCGAGCUGCAGUCGAUACGGGCAGGCUAGAGUUCGGCAGGGGAGACUGGAAUUCCUGGUGUAGCGGUGAAAUGCGCAGAUAUCAGGAGGAACACCGGUGGCGAAGGCGGGUCUCUGGGCCGAUACUGACACUGAGGAGCGAAAGCGUGGGGAGCGAACAGG